GAUGAACGCUAGCGGCAGGCUUAAUACAUGCAAGUCGAGGGGCAGCACGAAUAGCAAUAUUUGGUGGCGACCGGCGCACGGGUGCGUAACACGUAUACAACCUACCUAUAACAGGGGGAUAGCCUUUCGAAAGAGAGAUUAAUACCCCGUAAUAAAUUGAGUGGCAUCACUUGAUUUUGAAAGCUACGGCGGUUAUAGAUGGGUAUGCGUCUGAUUAGCUAGUUGGUGAGGUAACGGCUCACCAAGGCGACGAUCAGUAGGGGAUCUGAGAGGACUAACCUCCACACUGGUACUGAGACACGGACCAGACUCCUACGGGAGCAGCAGUAAGGAUAUUGGUCAAUGGAGGCAACUCUGAACCAGCCAUGCCGCGUGCAGGAUGACGGCCCUAUGGGUUGUAAACUGCUUUUAUACAAGAGAAAACCCUGGUACGUGUACCAGGUUGAUAGUAUUGUAAGAAUAAGCAUCGGCUAACUUCGUGCCAGCAGCCGACGG
rnacentral:rRNA from 1 species